CCAAGGAGAAACCACAGGUGGUGUCCACUACAGGUGAGGUGUGUGUGGAGGUUGCCAUGGGGACAGCGGUUGGCAACAGUGACGUGUGGUUCCGCUUCAACGAGGGCGUGUCCAACGCCGUGCGACGCAACAUCUACAUCAGAGAACUGCUAUAACUCACACACCGUACACACACACCGUACACACACACACCGUAGACACACACACACCGUAGACACACACACACCGUACACACACACACACACUCCAUCUCAUACACGUUCAAAUGUUAGUAUAUAAAUUACCACGAGUCAAUCUGUCAAACCACCUCUUUAUUAUGUUUGAUUGACAGUGGAAACAAGCCAAUAAAAACAGUGUAUUGUGAUUGACAGUGGAAACAAGCCAAUAAAAACAGUGUAUUCUGAUUGA